UUGGGCAGAAAGAGCAAGGAAUACUCUUGUUACUGGUGGUACUUCCAAAUGUACCACACAUAUAUCUUGUUGCCAGCCCACUCCUGAAUAUGGUGUAGUGUGUAUCUGCAAUAAUAUAAUCCCCAAAGCCAUUUACUGUGCUCUUAUUGUGUGCCAUAUACUGUGCUAAGCAUUUAAAUGUGAUCCCAUUAAACCUCACAGCAACCUAGAGCAGAAGAUCCUGACUGUCUCCUUUUUUAAGACUCUUGAAUCUCUCUAUCUGGGGAAGCCAGCUGCCAUGUCAUGAGGAGACACCCACCUGACGAGGAACUGAGGCCUCCUAUCAACAGCCACAUAAGCUUCUCAGCCUUGCAGAUUGUCAGCUCUUACACUGGCAUGUAACUGGCCUGGUGAUCCACAGUAAACUCCUGAGAAGAGUUCCCGUUGGCUUGAGGAUGUGGAGUAUAUUUGGAAAGCCCCAUUUGUGACCAAUAGCCCUCUCCACACUGUUUCCACAUGAAGAUUGGUUUUCGAUUUGUGGCCGUGAGCACUUCCAGGAAGAGAUGUUCACAGCUUGUUUCUGUGCCCAGCUAAACCAUCUAAUAGCCCAAGAAGGGCAGCAGAGAAAGCCCAGCCUGUUGUAAGUUAAUUGCUCCUUUCUUUCUCUGUAUUCUCAAAAGCUUUUAAAGGAAUGUAAGCAAAAACAUCUGUCUCUUGAAGGAAUAUUUCAUCAGAGGCCAUACAACCAGAAUAAGGGUUAUGGUAAGAAAGCUGGCUUCCAUUUCUCUGGCUCACAUGCUCAAAAGAUCCCCCACAUGAU